rnacentral:rRNA from 1 species
UAAGCGACUAAGCGUACACGGUGGAUGCCCUGGCAGUCAGAGGCGAUGAAGGACGUGCUAAUCUGCGAUAAGCGUCGGUAAGGUGAUAUGAACCGUUAUAACCGGCGAUUUCCGAAUGGGGAAACCCAGUGUGAUUCGUCACACUAUCAUUACGUGAAUACAUAGCGUAAUGAAGCGAACCGGGGGAACUGAAACAUCUAAGUACCCCGAGGAAAAGAAAUCAACCGAGAUUCCCCCAGUAGCGGCGAGCGAACGGGGAGCAGCCCAGAGUCUGAAUCAGCUUGUGUGUUAGUGGAACGGUCUGGAAAGUCCGACGGUACAGGGUGAUAGUCCCGUACACCAAAAUGCACAGGCUGUGAACUCGAAGAGUAGGGCGGGACACGUGGUAUCCUGUCUGAAUAUGGGGGGACCAUCCUCCAAGGCUAAAUACUCCUGACUGACCGAUAGUGAACCAGUACCGUGAGGGAAAGGCGAAAAGAACCCGGCGAGGGGAGUGAAAAAGAACCUGAAACCGUGUACGUACAAGCAGUGGGAGCCUCUUUAUGGGGUGACUGCGUACCUUUUGUAUAAUGGGUCAGCGACUUAUAUUCUGUAGCAAGGUUAACCGAAUAGGGGAGCCGAAGGGAAACCGAGUCUUAACUGGGCGUUAAGUUGCAGGGUAUAGACCCGAAACCCGGUGAUCUAGCCAUGGGCAGGUUGAAGGUUGGGUAACACUAACUGGAGGACCGAACCGACUAAUGUUGAAAAAUUAGCGGAUGACUUGUGGCUGGGGGUGAAAGGCCAAUCAAACCGGGAGAUAGCUGGUUCUCCCCGAAAGCUAUUUAGGUAGCGCCUCGUGAAUUCAUCUUCGGGGGUAGAGCACUGUUUCGGCUAGGGGGUCAUCCCGACUUACCAACCCGAUGCAAACUGCGAAUACCGAAGAAUGUUAUCACGGGAGACACACGGCGGGUGCUAACGUCCGUCGUGAAGAGGGAAACAACCCAGACCGCCAGCUAAGGUCCCAAAGUCACAGUUAAGUGGGAAACGAUGUGGGAAGGCACAGACAGCCAGGAUGUUGGCUUAGAAGCAGCCAUCAUUUAAAGAAAGCGUAAUAGCUCACUGGUCGAGUCGGCCUGCGCGGAAGAUGUAACGGGGCUAAACUGUGCACCGAAGCUGCGGCAGCGACACUAUGUGUUGUUGGGUAGGGGAGCGUUCUGUAAGCCGUUGAAGGUGUGUCGUGAGGCAUGCUGGAGGUAUCAGAAGUGCGAAUGCUGACAUAAGUAACGAUAAUGCGGGUGAAAAACCCGCACGCCGGAAGACCAAGGGUUCCUGUCCAACGUUAAUCGGGGCAGGGUGAGUCGACCCCUAAGGCGAGGCCGAAAGGCGUAGUCGAUGGGAAACAGGUUAAUAUUCCUGUACUUGGUGUUACUGCGAAGGGUGGACGGAGAAGGCUAUGUUAGCCGGGCGACGGUUGUCCCGGUUUAAGCAUGUAGGCGGAGGUUCCAGGUAAAUCCGGUACCUUUUUAACGCUGAGGUGUGAUGACGAGGCACUACGGUGCUGAAGUAACAAAUGCCCUGCUUCCAGGAAAAGCCUCUAAGCAUCAGGUAACACGAAAUCGUACCCCAAACCGACACAGGUGGUCAGGUAGAGAAUACCAAGGCGCUUGAGAGAACUCGGGUGAAGGAACUAGGCAAAAUGGUGCCGUAACUUCGGGAGAAGGCACGCUGAUAUGUAGGUGAAGUGAUUUACUCAUGGAGCUGAAAUCAGUCGAAGAUACCAGCUGGCUGCAACUGUUUAUUAAAAACACAGCACUGUGCAAACACGAAAGUGGACGUAUACGGUGUGACGCCUGCCCGGUGCCGGAAGGUUAAUUGAUGGGGUUAUCCGUAAGGAGAAGCUCUUGAUCGAAGCCCCGGUAAACGGCGGCCGUAACUAUAACGGUCCUAAGGUAGCGAAAUUCCUUGUCGGGUAAGUUCCGACCUGCACGAAUGGCGUAAUGAUGGCCAGGCUGUCUCCACCCGAGACUCAGUGAAAUUGAACUCGCUGUGAAGAUGCAGUGUACCCGCGGCAAGACGGAAAGACCCCGUGAACCUUUACUAUAGCUUGACACUGAACACUGGUCCUUGAUGUGUAGGAUAGGUGGGAGGCUUUGAAGUGUGGACGCCAGUCUGCAUGGAGCCAACCUUGAAAUACCACCCUUUAAUGGCUGGUGUUCUAACGUGGGCCCGUAAUCCGGGUUGCGGACAGUGUCUGGUGGGUAGUUUGACUGGGGCGGUCUCCUCCUAAAGAGUAACGGAGGAGCACGAAGGUUAGCUAAUCCUGGUCGGACAUCAGGAGGUUAGUGCAAAGGCAUAAGCUAGCUUGACUGCGAGAGUGACGGCUCGAGCAGGUGCGAAAGCAGGUCUUAGUGAUCCGGUGGUUCUGAAUGGAAGGGCCAUCGCUCAACGGAUAAAAGGUACUCCGGGGAUAACAGGCUGAUACCGCCCAAGAGUUCAUAUCGACGGCGGUGUUUGGCACCUCGAUGUCGGCUCAUCACAUCCUGGGGCUGAAGUAGGUCCCAAGGGUAUGGCUGUUCGCCAUUUAAAGUGGUACGCGAGCUGGGUUUAGAACGUCGUGAGACAGUUCGGUCCCUAUCUGCCGUGGGCGCUGGAGAAUUGAGGGGGGCUGCUCCUAGUACGAGAGGACCGGAGUGGACGCAUCACUGGUGUUCGGGUUGUCAUGCCAAUGGCAUUGCCCGGUAGCUAAAUGCGGAAGAGAUAAGUGCUGAAAGCAUCUAAGCACGAAACUUGCCCCGAGAUGAGUUCUCCCUGAGACUAUAAGUCUCCUGAAGGAACGUUGAAGACGACGACGUUGAUAGGUCGGGUGUGUAAGCGUAGCGAUACGUUGAGCUAACCGAUACUAAUGAACCGUGAGGCUUAACCU